rnacentral:tRNA from 1 species
GGACUGUGGCUCAGUGGUAGAGCACUUACCUAGCAUGUGCGAAGACCUGGGUUUGAUCCUCAGCACCA